rnacentral:rRNA from 1 species
CCAAUAGCGUAUAUUAAAGUUGUUGCAGUUAAAAAGCUCGUAGUUGAAUUUCGGGGCCAGUAGGUUGGUCGUGCCACUGGUAUGUACUGGCCUUACUGGUCCCUCCUUCUUGUAGAACCGUGAUGCCAUUAAUUUGGUGUUGCGGGGAAACAGGACUGUUACUUUGAAAAAAUUAGAGUGCUUAAAGCAGGCUCGCGCUUGAAUACAUUAGCAUGGAAUAACGGAAUAGGACGAUCGAACCUAUUUUGUUGGUUUCUAGGAUCGACGUAAUGAUUAAUAGGGAUAGUUGGGGGCAUUAGUAUUCAAUUGUCAGAGGUGAAAUUCUUGGAUUUAUUGAAGACUAACUACUGCGAAAGCAUUUGCCAAGGAUGUUUUCAUUAAUCAAGAACGAAAGUUAGGGGAUCGAAGACGAUCAGAUACCGUCGUAGUCUUAACCAUAAACUAUGCCGACUAGGGAUCGGAUGAAGUUAAUUUUUUAAUGACUCAUUCGGCGCCUUACG